AACGAACGUUGGCGGCGUGGAUUAGGCAUGCAAGUCGUGGGCGGUUACGUGGCGUAGCAAUACGUUGCGUGACUGACCGGCGUAAGGGGUAGUAAUACAUGGGUAACCAACCCUCCAGAUGGGGAUAACCCGUCGAAAGACGGACUAAUACCCAGCGACGUUGCGAGGGGGCAUCUCUUUGCAACCAAAGGUGUGAUUCCGCUGGAGGACGGGCUCAUGUCGUAUUAGCUAGUUGGUAGGGUAACGGCCACCAAGGCGAAGAUGCGUAGGGGACGUUAGCGCGUGAUCCCCACCACUGGGACUGAGACACUGCCCAGACACCUACGGGUGGCUGCAGUCGAGAAUCUUCGGCAAUGGGCGCAAGCCUGACCGAGCGACGCCGCGUGCGGGAUGAAGGCC
rnacentral:rRNA from 1 species